UACAGAGACUGCAAGCGUUAUUCGGAUUCACUGGGCGUAAAGGGUGCGCAGGCGGUUGGGUGUGUCAGAUGUGAAAUCCCGAGGCUUAACCUCGGAACUGCGUCUGAAACUACUCGACUAGAGUACUGGAGAGGGUAACGGAAUUCACGGUGUAGCAGUGAAAUGCGUAGAUAUCGUGAGGAACACCAGAGGCGAAGGCGGUUACCUGGACAGUUACUGACGCUCAGGCACGAAAGCAUGGGGAGCGAAAGGG
rnacentral:rRNA from 1 species